rnacentral:tRNA from 1 species
GCUCCCGUAGUUCAAUGGAUAGAACGGCCCCCUCCUAAGGGGCAGAUGUAGGUUCGAUUCCUACCGGGAGUACCA